UGACUUAGUGGCGGACGGGUGAGUAACGCGUGGGUAACCUGCCUCACACAGGGGGAUAACAGUUGGAAACGACCGCUAAUACCGCAUAACCCGCUAGGGCCGCAUGGCCCGGACGGAAAAGAUUUAUCGGUGUGAGAUGGACCCGCGUUGGAUUAGCUAGUUGGCAGGGUAACGGCCUACCAAGGCGACGAUCCAUAGCCGGCCUGAGAGAGUGAACGGCCACAUUGGGACUGAGACACGGCCCAA
rnacentral:rRNA from 1 species